UUUUUCAGGGGAUAUUAAAGAUUUUUUAAAAGAAUAUCACUAGAGACAUCAGAUUAGCUUACGGUGUGUGGUUCCAGAAGUUUCUGAAUUUCUCUAAAGUUACUUUGAAGUCUCUGGUUUCUACUUGUACAACGCCGAUUCAAACCUACCCAUCUCCCACAUAAAGUCUAACUCAGGUUCAAUGGCUCCGGAUAGAGAUGCUCCACCUGAAAACUCACAAGAAAACUCACAAGAAAGAGAUGCUCAAGAAAGAGAUGCUCCUGAUACAAAUGCUCCACCUGAUACUGAAGCAAAAGAAGUUGCACGAGGCAUCACCAUUAUGAAGGGAAUCAUUCGACAUAGAG